AGAUUGAACGCUGGCGGCAGGCCUAACACAUGCAAGUCGAGCGGCAGCACGGGUACUUGUACCUGGUGGCGAGCGGCGGACGGGUGAGUAAUGCCUAGGAAUCUGCCUGGUAGUGGGGGAUAACGCUCGGAAACGGACGCUAAUACCGCAUACGUCCUACGGGAGAAAGCAGGGGACCUUCGGGCCUUGCGCUAUCAGAUGAGCCUAGGUCGGAUUAGCUAGUUGGUGAGGUAAUGGCUCACCAAGGCGACGAUCCGUAACUGGUCUGAGAGGAUGAUCAGUCACACUGGAACUGAGACACGGUCCAGACUCCGUACGGGAGGCAGCAGUGGGGAAUAUUGGACAAGUGGGCGAAAGCCUGAUCCAGCCAUGCCGUGUGUGUGAAGAAGGUCUUCGGAUUGUAAAGCAUUUAAGUUGGAGGAGGCAGUUACCUAAUACGUAUCUUGUUUCGACGUUACGACAGAAUAAGCACCGCUAACUCUGU
rnacentral:rRNA from 1 species